GACGAACGCUGGCGGCGUGCUUAACACAUGCAAGUCGAACGGAAAGGCCCUGCUUUUGUGGGGUGCUCGAGUGGCGAACGGGUGAGUAACACGUGAGUAACCUGCCCUUGACUUUGGGAUAACUUCAGGAAACUGGGGCUAAUACCGGAUAGGAGCUCCUGCUGCAUGGUGGGGGUUGGAAAGUUUCGGCGGUUGGGGAUGGACUCGCGGCUUAUCAGCUUGUUGGUGGGGUAGUGGCUUACCAAGGCUUUGACGGGUAGCCGGCCUGAGAGGGUGACCGGCCACCAUGGGACUGAGAUACGGCACAGACUCCAACAGGAGGCAGCAGUGGAGAAUGUUACACAAUAGGGCGGAGCCUGUUGCCGCGACGUCGCGUUCGGGAUGACGGCCUUCGGGUUGUGAACCGAUUUCGCCUGUGACGAAGCGUUAGUGACGGUACUGGAUAAAAAAGCACCGGCUAACUACGUG
rnacentral:rRNA from 1 species